rnacentral:misc_RNA from 1 species
CUCAACCUGUUGUCAUACAAAGGUUGUUCAUCCUGAAAGAAACUAUUGAAGAGGAAUACUUAGAUAAAACCACCUUUCAAACAGAGACAGAAGAGGAUGCUAAAUCAGGAGACUUGUGAUGUUCUGUUCAGUUUUUGUUGAUAUCUCUAUUGCCUUUCACUUUUCUGGUAGAUAGUAGUUUGUAAGAUGAUGCCUCAAUUCUGAAUUGUCAAUCAAGC